rnacentral:rRNA from 1 species
UAAAGAUUCAUCGGCUGCGGAUGGCCAUGCGGCGCAUUAGCUAGUCGGCGGGGUAACGGCCCACCGAGGCGACGAUGCGUAGGGGUUCUGAGAGGAAGGUCCCCCACACUGGUACUGAGACACGGACCAGACUCCUACGGGAGGCAGCAGUGAGGAAUAUUGGUCAAUGGCCGGGAGGCUGAACCAGCCAAGUCGCGUGAGGGAAGACGGCCCUACGGGUUGUAAACCUCUUUUGUCAGGGAGCAAGAGGCGGGUCGAGACCUGCUGUGAGAGUACCUGAAGAAGAAGCAUCGGCUAACUCCGUGCCAGCAGCCGCGGUAAUACGGAGGAUGCGAGCGUUAUCCGGAUUUAUUGGGUUUAAAGGGUGCGCAGGCGGAGGCACAAGUCAGCGGUAAAAUCGCGGGGCUCAACCCCGCUCCGCCGUUGAAACUGUGUCCCUUGAGUGCGCGAAGGGUAGGCGGAAUGCGUGGUGUAGCGGUGAAAUGCAUAGAUAUCACGCAGAACUCCGAUCGCGAAGGCAGCCUACCGGCGCGCAACUGACGCUCAUGCACGAAAGCGUGGGUAUCGAACAGGAUUAGAUACCCUGGUAGUCCACGCAGUAAACGAUGAAUGCUAUCUGUCCGGCCGGAAUGACGGCUGG